rnacentral:rRNA from 1 species
AGUGAACGCUGGCGGUAGGCCUAACACAUGCAAGUCGAACGGCAGCACAGUAAGAGCUUGCUCUUACGGGUGGCGAGUGGCGGACGGGUGAGGAAUACAUCGGAAUCUACUUUUUCGUGGGGGAUAACGUAGGGAAACUUACGCUAAUACCGCAUACGACCUACGGGUGAAAGCAGGGGAUCUUCGGACCUUGCGCGAUUGAAUGAGCCGAUGUCGGAUUAGCUAGUUGGCGGGGUAAAGGCCCACCAAGGCGACGAUCCGUAGCUGGUCUGAGAGGAUGAUCAGCCACACUGGAACUGAGACACGGUCCAGACUCCUACGGGAGGCAGCAGUGGGGAAUAUUGGACAAUGGGCGGAAGCCUGAUCCAGCCAUACCGCGUGGGUGAAGAAGGCCUUUGGGUUGUAAAGCCCUUUUGUUGGGAAAGAAAAGCAGCAGGUUAAUACCCCGCUGUUCUGACGGUACCCAAAGAAUAAGCACCGGCUAACUUCGUG